GAUGAACGCUGGCGGCGUGCUUAACACAUGCAAGUCGAACGGAAAGGCCCAAGCUUGCUUGGGUACUCGAGUGGCGAACGGGUGAGUAACACGUGGGUGAUCUGCCCUGCACUUCGGGAUAAGCCUGGGAAACUGGGUCUAAUACCGGAUAGGACCACUUCUUGGAUGUUGUGGUGGAAAGUUUUUUCGGUGUGGGAUGAGCUCGCGGCCUAUCAGCUUGUUGGUGGGGUAAUGGCCUACCAAGGCGUCGACGGGUAGCCGGCCUGAGAGGGUGUACGGCCACAUUGGGACUGAGAUACGGCCCAGACUCCUACGGGAGGCAGCAGUGGGGAAUAUUGCACAAUGGGCGCAAGCCUGAUGCAGCGACGCCGCGUGGGGGAUGACGGCCUUCGGGUUGUAAACUCCUUUCGCUAGGGACGAAGCGUUUUGUGACGGUACCUGGAGAAGAAGCACCGGCUAACCACGUG
rnacentral:rRNA from 1 species